UAGGAAGAUCACCAUGUAUCCGGAACGGGCUUUGUGGUGGUCGUAAAAUUACUAUUUGUUUAGGAGUGGAAUAGUGGCCCGUAUCGCUGGCAUUAACAUUCCUGAC
rfam:Tolumonas auensis DSM 9187, complete genome.